GACGAACGCUGGCGGCGUGCCUAAUACAUGCAAGUCGAGCGAAGUUUUUCUGGUGCUUGCACUAGAAAAACUUAGCGGCGAACGGGUGAGUAACACGUAAAGAACCUGCCUUAUAGACUGGGACAGCUAUUGGAAACGAUAGCUAAUACCGGAUAACAGCAUUAACUGCAUGGUUGAUGUUUAAAAGUUGGUUUUGCUAACACUAUGAGAUGGCUUUGCGGUGCAUUAGCUAGUUGGUGGGGUAAAGGCCUACCAAGGCGACGAUGCAUAGCCGACCUGAGAGGGUGAUCGGCCACACUGGGACUGAGACACGGCCCAGACUCCUACGGGAGGCAGCAGUAGGGAAUCUUCCGCAAUGGGCGAAAGCCUGACGGAGCAACGCCGCGUGAGUGAAGAAGGAUUUCGGUUCGUAAAGCUCUGUUGUUAGGGAAGAAUGAUUGUGUAGUAACUAUACACAGUAGAGACGGUACCUAACCAGAAAGCCACGGCUAACUACGUGCCAGCAGCCGCGGUAAUACGUAGGUGGCAAGCGUUGUCCGGAAUUAUUGGGCGUAAAGCGCGCGCAGGUGGUUUAAUAAGUCUGAUGUGAAAGCCCACGGCUCAACCGUGGAGGGUCAUUGGAAACUGUUAAACUUGAGUGCAGGAGAGAAAAGUGGAAUUCCUAGUGUAGCGGUGAAAUGCGUAGAGAUUAGGAGGAACACCAGUGGCGAAGGCGGCUUUUUGGCCUGUAACUGACACUGAGGCGCGAAAGCGUGGGGAGCAAACAGG
rnacentral:rRNA from 1 species